CACAGUGUUAAACUGGUAAGAUCCCUGAAAGACGAUCAGGUUGAUAGGUCAGAGGUGGAAGCGCGGCGACGCGUGGAGCUGACUGAUACUAAUAGAUCGA
rnacentral:ncRNA from 1 species